GAACCCCAAAAUGCUCAGUUUCCCACAGUCCAUGACCGUCUAGUGCAGCCUGAUCCACCUAUGUCUACUGUGCAGGAUAAACAGCAUACUGAACCUCCAAGCAAUUGUCCUGUUGAGAGUCCUGUAAAUGCUCAAAAUGUUGAUUGCACUCCUGAGAUUAACAAGCCACCUGAUAUGUCCAAUGGUGCCUCAAACAGUCCUCUCACACUUAAUGACCCUAACUGUCACCACUACGACACUGAGGACCUACUUACCGAAAGAGUCAUGCUUGAUGAACAAGUGGAUGAAAUCGUUAUGACCGAAAGUAACUUACCUGCUAGUAAAAACCCUGUGGAGGAACAAAACUUACCUGAUGAUGACAUCCAAAUUGAGCAGCUUCCAGUGUUCUCUGACAUGUUAGAGAGUGGAAAGGAGAUGAACCGUAAAGAACCAGAAGAGGAAAUAAAGGAUACAACAGUCAGGAGAUCAGAGAGAAACCGUCAGCCGUCAAAGAGACUUGACUAUACUGAACUCGGAAACCCCUUUGUCACAAUUGUUAAAUCAUUCUUUCAGGGGUUAACCACAGCUGUGGCUGACAUCUUAAGUGAGGGUGAGAACUCAUAUCCUUCUGUCCUGUACCCUGAGAUACAAACAGUUCAACCAUUGCCAUGUACAGGGACGUACAUGAGUUCAAAGGGGGAGAGUGUAGCCAGGUUUUAUAAUGAGAAACCCUAUUUAGCUGUCUAACCUAGUCACGGAAGGGUUAACUUUCAUUUUGAUUCUUUGAUGGACUUGUGAGUGAGCCAAUGGGUGAAUUUUAUGAGGUACUGAACUGACCAAUCAGCUGCCAGCUAGGCUCCGUUACAGUUACGCCUCUAGUUUUGUGUCACUGCACGUUCUUUUGGCGCUUGCAUUUGAGCAUAGAAGGCUGCGUUAUCUGCUUGAGUGUAAACGAAAGCUGUGCCUGAAUCCACUGUUAUCACGGAGCUAAAAGCAGUGAAUUCCGUUAAAAUGGUCAGGUUUUGGUAAAGAGUUGGAAACAUCGUGCAGAGAUCCUUUCCACGGAGUGAUACAGAUCCACACGUUCCAGACGUUCUCCCAGAGAUUCAUAGAUUCCCAGUCCGGGUGGCUGGGUGGCGAGCCAACCGUGUUUGUGACUCUGACUUUAGACGAACUGCCUGGAUCAUCCUCUUCAUCUUCGUUGUGGUAGGACAAAAACUAACUCAGAGUUAAAAAAAGGGCCCCAACGGUGAAACUGAACUUUUGUCAACCAAGGCAAAACGAACCGAGGACGAACUGAGCUCAACGAUUCUGAUACGAGAGGGUUUUCUUUUGUUUUUUGUGCGCACUUUAUU